GAUGAACGCUAGCGGCAGGCCUAAUACAUGCAAGUCGAACGAGAUUAAGAGGCUUGCUUCUUAUGAAAGUGGCGCACGGGUGCGUAACGCGUAUGCAACCUACCUUAAUCAGGGGGAUAGCCCGAAGAAAUUCGGAUUAAGACCGCAUAAAAACACAGGAUAGCAUUAUCCAAUGUUCAAAUAUUUAUAGGAUUAAGAUGGGCAUGCGUGUCAUUAGCUAGUUGGCGGGGUAACGGCCCACCAAGGCGACGAUGACUAGGGGAUCUGAGAGGAUGAUCCCCCACACUGGUACUGAGACACGGACCAGACUCCUACGGGAGGCAGCAGUAAGGAAUAUUGGUCAAUGGAGGGAACUCUGAACCAGCCAUGCCGCGUGCAGGAAGACAGCCCUCUGGGCCGUAAACUGCUUUUAUUCGGAAAUAAACCUUUCUACGUGUAGGAAGCUGAAUGUACCGAAGGAAUAAGGAUCGGCUAACUCCGUG
rnacentral:rRNA from 1 species